rnacentral:rRNA from 1 species
UACAGAGGUCUCAAGCGUUGUUCGGAUUCAUUGGGCGUAAAGGGUGCGUAGGCGGCGCGGUAAGUCGGGUGUGAAAUCUUGGAGCUUAACUCCGAAACUGCAUUCGAUACUGCCGUGCUUGAGGACUGGAGAGGAGACUGGAAUUUACGGUGUAGCGGUGAAAUGCGUAGAUAUCUGGAGGAAUACCGGUGGCGAAGGCGGCAUCCUGGACCGACAUUGACGCUGAUGAGCGAAAGCUAGGGGAGCAAACGGG